GUGGGCCUCUGUGUCAUGGGCCUUUGGCUGUGGUCAAGCCCCUGUUCUGGGGUGAAGAAAUCCAGCGGUCAUCAAUUGCCCCUUCACCUUCUCGGGAGUUAUUGCUCCAACUGCCGAGGGGGUGAAUAUCAAGAAUCAUCAUGGCCGCGCCUGUUCGUGUCCAAGUGUCUUUAUAAUACUCUUUCAUUUUUUUGUCUUUGCGCAGUUUCUGAAUCCCAUCUGCUCUUUCCUCUUUCGGACUUUUCUUUAUUCUCCGUGUUCUCGGUUAUUUUUGCUUUCCUGUCAUUGUUAUCUGGACAUGUCUUUUCUUUCCUUUCUCAUGAAUAUCUUUGAAGGAUUCUGACAGCAUUAAUUGAGAAUUCGGCUCUACCUUGUCCUGCAAAACAUAAACUUUUGGAUAUAUAUAUUAACCUCACCUCUUUACCAUUCACAGGCACUUUGUUGGAACAGAGAGAUUUUCUUGUUUUAUCUGUGAAGGAUCCAUUUGGUGCCUUCUUCAAGCGGGCGAAGGCGAGCUUGAUAUUACAUUGCUGUGUUGCCCCAGGAAUUUGUUUGAAUCUUACUUUUAUCAUCUCGACGGAAAAUUGUGCUAACUUAUCUCUGUUUUGGGACUCUUUCGUAGUACCUGAGACGAAGAUGAGUCAAUUCAAAAUUUCAGAGGAGUGGAUGUUACCUCUAAGGAGUUUGAAUGUUGCUUUGGGGAUCCGUCUGGUAGGGCGGUUGAUGGGUGGGACCGUUCGGCAAGUUGCUGAAAUUAUUUUGCCCAGAUCUUCUGGCCGACCUCCCCCGUUGCUGCCUUCUUUGGAUGUAAAUGGAAGGGGCUCAAGUGCUCGGCUUGUUGUUUUCUUUGAUGUGAAGCACCAGUAUUAUUAGUCUCUUUGAUGUGAAGUACCAGUAUUAUGCGAGACUGAGAUCUGCUACACUCAGCCAAGCUUCUGCUGGUACCUUCACACGUUAGCCCGGCGAUCCUCCUGAGGUCGUAAUCUGAAGCCCGUGUUUUUUUAUGCGUGAUAUACACACAGCAUAUGACAUGUGAGCUUGUCACGCGUAUCACACUUGGGCAACCGAAUGCCGACCUACAGAGGAUCCAUGGGAAACGCUUAUGAGGAUUAACUUCUUGGCUUUCUGCAGCUCUUUCUGCCAAACUCACAUAUCGAGCUGCGAGAGUUUCUCCGAACCGAAGGCCGAAGUAGCAGGAUAGGUGAUGAUGAUGUAAUUGUUGAUGAUGA
rnacentral:lncRNA from 1 species